CCUGCAAACACCCCCCCUUUCCUCCCAGGACGUAGAGGUGAUGCGGGCUUGUCUUGGGGUAUCUCCCCCCUGCCCCCCGCCCCCCCCAGCAAUCUUUCGGGACGCAGUGCUGCCCCAUCCCUCCUGUGCGGACCGGGCGGGGGGCGGACGACCCCUUCCGGGGAGCCCCGAAGUGGUUACCUUCGGGGAAGACGGCUCGCAUUUUCAGUCUUUGCUGCGUUCUUGGAUUUUUCCUUCAUCGCGACUAC